UAGCAGGCUGCUACCUGCCAGCCUGUGUGUGCAGGGGAUAUGUGGGAAACCUCUGUUCCUUCCUCUCAAUUUUGCUCUGAAUCUAAAACCCUGCUUAAAAAAGUCAAUUCUUAAAAAAAAACAGGAUGGAGACAAACCUUUCAGAUACAAUACAUGAACUUGGGUUCAAAAACAGUAAGAAAACUCUCUCCAGGGCAAUUACAGAAAUAGCAAGUCAAGAAGGGUGACCAAGUUGUUCACCUUUUAGUACCUGCAGCUGGUCAUGCAUGUCUGGUACCUGAGGCCUCA
rnacentral:lncRNA from 1 species